AGGAAACUAUAUAUUUCAGUUCAUAAUUCAAAAAAUACAGAAGUCAAACUUUGGUAAAAAAAAGAAACUUUGAACAGUAAAAACUAAAUUGUAAACCGUGGACCCAAGCAUGAAAGUAGAUUUUGCUUUUCAUAUCUCUGGUGUCAAACUGUCAGUCGCAUAGCGCGGAGCUCAGCAAGAUUUUUUUCCUUUGCACGUCCCCUUCGUCACCGAGAACGAGUCGGGAUCCCAGAUUAGUACGGGACUGCGAUGCGGAUUAAAGCGUGACGACGCCCGAAUUAAACAAGUAUUCUCAUCCCGAAUGAUUGAGAUCUCCAGCGACCGACCGACGAGCUGGUCGAUUGAUCCAUCCAUGAUCAUCGGCGCGGCCCGGGUCCUUGUCCUGCAGCGGCCAAAUUUGGUUAUGUUUGUUGGGUCAGCAGACACAAUAAAAAUUUUAAAUCCUUUAACAAAAUACUAUUAAAGUUCAAGAAAUUUUAUAUUAUAUAACAAAGUUAAUACUGGUAACUCCAACAAUAUUCUCACCGAUUCGCCACUGUCCUACAGUUUCGUUAUCCUCGAUAAAAAAAAUAAAAGAAAAACUCGUCGGUUUCGCGAAACGCGGAGCAAGAACCGGUCCGCACGUUGGCACGGCACCGGCACGCACGCUGGCACCAGACAAUAGACCCAUUGCGCUUGUUUACUCGCGCGUACCCCCCACCCCCCCACCCACCACACACACACGCACAUGACGCCAUUAAGUCUCUGCGAUUGGAUUAGCAGUUAAUUAACGCGAUCCUCGAGACUAACCAAGGGCCCUUUGCGUCUAGUGAGAAGAACCUCGAGCCAGGCCCGUGGGACCAGCUUGAUGUGUGGAUAAGGUGGCCAGUGGGCAGGUGCUUCGCUCAGCCGAUCACGAAAGGUUUGCUUGUUUAGGAGAGCUUUAUCAACUCAAAAGGUAAUUUGUAAUAUAAAAAAAGUUAAAAAAUAUUAUGAAACAACUUCAUCAAUGGAUCUGAUGAUAUUUGGUACAGUUCCGCCCAUCUUAAAUCGGGCCUUGUGUAUUACUCCCUCCGUUUCUUUUUAUUUGUCGCUGGAUAGUGUAAUUUUGCACUAUCCGGCGACAAAUAAAAAGAAACGGAGGGAGUAUCUCUUUAUCUACUUUCUUCUCUCUUAGUCCCUACCAUUCGGAGUGUGCGACAGAGUAGACGCAUAUGCGACGAGCAUGGCCCUCGUUGGGCAACGGUGGCCCUCACCAUAGGUUGAAGCACCAAAGGCCUAGGUUGGAGACUGCAUGAAAGCGCGCGAGGAGGCGGGAGGAGGACAGCCUACCAAACUGUUCUAGCUCGUACGCACCAUAAUACUUGUACCACAUCAUGUACAUGUCAUUAUGCUCUCCUUAAAAUGACUUACCAGACUGUUCAAGCUCGUAUUCACCAUGAUACUUGUACCACACUGAUUACAACAAAGGUCAACAAUCUAAGUAAACGAAACAUAGUCCCCACACAACUUUAGGAGUAUCUAGCAUAUGUAUAUGUUUGCAGUUUGAAAAUGUUUACAACUAGAAUUUAACUACACAUGGCAACAUUAUGUAGAGUUGUGCACUCCCUAUUUCAAGCCUUCUAUCAAAUAUUUCGGACCGAACAUUGGAUGGUUGAGAAGAGCGAGUAGAGUACUGAUAACCCUAGCCACACAUGUCAAAGGAAGGCUAAUUGACAACUUACCCUCAAACUCUGCACAUGGAAAGGGAACCACAUUCUUAGGUCGCAUGUGCCAUCACCGACCCUUUGGUGGAGCAGCACUACAAGGAACACAAAAAUAACAUAUGAC
rnacentral:lncRNA from 1 species